GACGAACGCUGGCGGCAUGCCUUACACAUGCAAGUCGAACGGCAGCACGGGUGCUUGCACCUGGUGGCGAGUGGCGAACGGGUGAGUAAUACAUCGGAACGUACCUUAUCGUGGGGGAUAACGCAGCGAAAGCUGUGCUAAUACCGCAUACGCCCUGAGGGGGAAAGCGGGGGAUCGCAAGACCUCGCGCGAUUAGAGCGGCCGAUGCCUGAUUAGCUUGUUGGUGGGGUAAAAGCCCACCAAGGCGACGAUCAGUAGCUGGUCUGAGAGGACGAUCAGCCACACUGGGACUGCGACACGGCCCAGACUCCUACGGGAGGCAGCAGUGGGGAAUUGUGGACAAUGGGGGCAACCCUGAUCCAGCAAUGCCGCGUGAGUGAAGAAGGCCUUCGGGUUGUAAAGCUCUUUUGUCAGGGAAGAAACACCGGCUCUAACACAGUCCGGGAAUGACGGUACCUGAAGAAUAAGCACCGGCUAACUACGUGCCAGCCGCCGCCGUAA
rnacentral:rRNA from 1 species